UUAAAUUGAAGAGUUUGAUCAUGGCUCAGAUUGAACGCUGGCGGCAGGCCUAACACAUGCAAGUCGAACGGUAACAGGAAGCAGCUUGCUGCUUCGCUGACGAGUGGCGGACGGGUGAGUAAUGUCUGGGAAACUGCCUGAUGGAGGGGGAUAACUACUGGAAACGGUAGCUAAUACCGCAUAACGUCGCAAGACCAAAGAGGGGGACCUUCGGGCCUCUUGCCAUCGGAUGUGCCCAGAUGGGAUUAGCUAGUAGGUGGGGUAACGGCUCACCUAGGCGACGAUCCCUAGCUGGUCUGAGAGGAUGACCAGCCACACUGGAACUGAGACACGGUCCAGACUCCUACGGGAGGCAGCAGUGGGGAAUAUUGCACAAUGGGCGCAAGCCUGAUGCAGCCAUGCCGCGUGUAUGAAGAAGGCCUUCGGGUUGUAAAGUACUUUCAGCGGGGAGGAAGGGAGUAAAGUU
rnacentral:rRNA from 1 species